AACGAACGCUGGCGGCAGGCUUAACACAUGCAAGUCGAGCGCCCCGCAAGGGGAGCGGCAGACGGGUGAGUAACGCGUGGGAAUCUACCCAGCUCUACGGAACAACUCCGGGAAACUGGAGCUAAUACCGUAUACGUCCUUCGGGAGAAAGAUUUAUCGGAGUUGGAUGAGCCCGCGUUGGAUUAGCUAGUUGGUGGGGUAAAGGCCUACCAAGGCGACGAUCCAUAGCUGGUCUGAGAGGAUGAUCAGCCACACUGGGACUGAGACACGGCCCAGACUCCUACGGGAGGCAGCAGUGGGGAAUAUUGGACAAUGGGCGAAAGCCUGAUCCAGCCAUGCCGCGUGAGUGAUGAAGGCCCUAGGGUUGUAAAGCUCUUUCACCGGUGAAGAUAAUGACGGUAACCGGAGAAGAAGCCCCGGCUAACUUCGUGCCAGCCGCCGCGGUAACAC
rnacentral:rRNA from 1 species